UCAACAAUUUAGUCAUAUUAGACAAAUGCUGUUGUUGUGUAACCACCGUGAAAACAACUGUUAACUCGUUAUUAUAGUGAUAUAUAUUUUUGAAAACUGAAUUGACUUGUUAUCAAACUUUAAGGGUAUUGAAGUCUUAUAUUAGAACGGUUUUUGAUGUAAAGACAUUUUAAAAAGUUUUAGACACAUUAACAACAUUAUCUUCAGAACAUUAGAAAAAAUGUGUGACAACUAUAGUAUCUUUUUUAACUAUUUUUAACACCUUUAAAACGGAAUAUUGUACUCCAGCAAAUUUCAAAUAAGUAAUUGAAUUAUUUCCUCCAGAAAGUUCUGCAUCCAAAUUAACUGAUUAUGAUAGAAU